UACAGAGGGGGCCAGCGUUAUUCGGAAUUAUUGGGCGUAAAGGGUGCGUAGGCGGCUUGGUAAGUUGGGUGUGAAAGCCCCGGGCUCAGCCCGGGAAGGGCACUCGAAACUGCCGAGCUGGAGUGCCGGAGGGGAGAGUGGAAUUCCUGGUGUAGCGGUGAAAUGCGUAGAUAUCGAGAGGAACACCUGCGGCGAAGGCGGGUUGCUGGGCCGACACUGACGCUGAUGCGCGAAAGCUAGGGGAGCGAACGGG
rnacentral:rRNA from 1 species